AAGCAACGGAACUAGGUCGAGUAUUUAAAAGGUUAUGGUUUAACAUGGUUUAACGUCGAUGUAAUACAUUGUUUUAGCGUACCUUUUGCUUAAACGAGGAGCUGGGGGACGCUAGAAAAAUAGACGUUUUACUCAUUACUUCAUUAAAAACGUGACAUUUAGACAUUUUUUUCGGCGUGGAUCAAGGCAAAUGAAUCCUUUUCACCUUGAAAAUAAUAAAUGUUUUUUUUACAUUUUAAAUAAUUAAAUAAUAGAACAUUUCUCAGUGAUCGACAAUAAAACAAAAUUCCAUUUUUCUCGGUUUAAUGAAAACCAAUAGGUCGUUAUGGCAGAGGCGAUAGCGUGUAGAAUAGGUCAACAUCCGGUUUCACGUUUGAGGGGGUUAAACCGUGACAUCUACACGUUUUCCAAAAUGGACCAACGUGAUUAUUUCACGUCUUGUCGUGAUACCGGGUUGAAG